GUUAGUGUUUUUUUAAUCCUGUGCUCCUCCAAGGGUUUAAAAGGCAUGACGCUUUUUCCAGGAAGGAGGCAGGAAGUGAGCAGAGUAGAGGAACUGUCACUCAUGGUGUCGGAGAGUGGUGUUGCUAGCUGCGGGUAGUAUUUGUUUGACGCACGAUAGUGUUUAUGAUUUAUUAUGAAUCUUGUUCACUCUCAUCUACAGAGUACGUUGAUCUCGGACUUUGAUAUUGGCUCAUUGGCUGAAUCUUGUUACACUCAGGUGUCUAGUACGUUUGUGUGCUUUUGGUUUAAUAACUCAACCUAUGUGCCACGACAGGCAUUACCAAGAAGGGAAAGGUAAGCACGUCACGUGACAUACAUUCUGCUACACGUAGGUUGUGUCUGAUGUUGAAGACAUUAGUUUAGAAGUGUGUGCCACCCACUGUAUUUUUGUUCAAAGAUCGUUAGAGUAGAUUAGAUUAGAUUCAACUUUAUUGUCAUUACACAUAUACAAGUACAGUGUAACGAAAUGUAGUUUAGGUCUAACCAGAAGAGCAAUUAGCAAGUGCAGGAUAUACAGUGUGAAUAAAUACAGAAUACAAUAUUAGGAAAAUACUAUACAAUGGGCAUGUACUAUGAAAAUAUGACAGUCGGUAUGUACUAUGAACAAUAUAAACAGAAGGCUAUAUACUGUGAACAUUAAUGUACAGGUGGUUAUGAACAGAUAACAAUAUAGACUAUACAAUAGUGCAAGUGACUUGAGUGUGCAUUAGUUACAGACAUUAGCAAUUAAAGUUACAGUGCAGUAGAUGAGUUGAUGCGGUUAUUAAAGGUACGGUGCAGUACAUGAGUUAAUGCAGUUAUUGAAGUUAUAGUGCAAUACAUGAGGAGAUGCAGUUAUACAUUUACAGUGCAGUAGAUGAGUUAGUGCAGUUAUUGAAGUUACAGUGCAGUAGAUGCUUUAAUGCGGUUAUUAAGGUUACAGUGCAGUAGAUGAGUUAAUGCAGUUAUUGAAGUUAUAGUGCAAUAGAUGAGUAGAUGCAGUUAGUUAUGCAAUAGAUGCAGUAAUGCAAUAGAGUAGGGAUUAGUAAUCCAAGUAGUCUUGGGUCCCGAAGACUUCUUUUUCUUACUUUUGUUUUGUAGUGAGGUUAGAAUUAUUACUUAAUAAGAUAUAGUAUGUUUUAUUAUAUUGAGUUCUUUGUUUUGGCACAGAUUGACGUCCCUUCUUUUCUGUGUUUGUAUUAUGUUUAUUAAUCACCCUUAGCACCUGUAAAUAAACACGUUAUUUACAGUCCUCUUUGGUCUUCAUUUUUCCUCUCCUUGGUCCUCAUUACCAUUACCCUUCAAUUCAAUUCAAUUCAAGUUUAUUUAUAUAGCGCUUUUCACAAUGUGUAUUGUUUCAAAGCAGCUUUACAGGGGCAAACAGGAAAAACAGAUAAGUUAGAACACAGCACAGUGCAUGGUGUUUAUACAACGAGUAAGAUCAUUCUAAUAAAUAAUAUCUAAUUUAUAAAUAAAUAAAUGAAUGAAUGCAGUCUCCCGGUGAGCAGGCCAACACUGCCCUGCUGUGGCGAGGAACACAAACUCCAAUGAUUGAUUAAUGGAGAAAAAAACCUCGGGAGAAACCAGGCUCAACUGGGAGGGCCAGAUCCCCUCUGACGUGUCAUAGCUGCACUCAAACUGUGGUCUGAGCUGAUGGUCUGAUGGUCAUAUUUCUCUUGGCUGGUGGUGGAAUUGCCUUGGAUGGAGCUGGGAUGGUCAAUCAGUCUGCAGCUGUAGCUGGCGUAAUCUCAAAUUGGGGAUGGGCAUCUGUCAGUCGUCUGGACACGGUGGAACUUCUUCUUACCUCGGGAUGGGCAUCCCGAGGCAGAGGCGGAAAGAGAAUAAAGAGAAUAAUUAGCGUAGCUGCUGUUCCUUGAAACCGUAUGUGCAUAUCCAUGCCAGUUACUGACCCAAAUCAAUCGGGAUGUAACAUGUUUGGGGGCUCGUCCGGGAUAGGUUACAUAUAGGUCAUAGGAGUAAUAUUCAAAUUGACAAGGAUUGAGAUAGUUGUGAAUUUGUUUUUUUUGGUAAUAUCUGAUGUUGUGGAAACCACAGCUUGUGUGGAGUAUUACGUUACUAGUGUUUGUAUUGUUUAAAUGAGCAAAUAUGGCUUCCUUUGAAUUGCAAACAUUCAUUACUGACCCAACUGUAGGGCAGUUAGAGUUGAGUUAGAAGGCAGAACAUUUUACGUUUUCUCUGGGUAAACAAAUGCGUAAAACUGAAUCGAAAGUGGUAAUUAUACAACGUUUAGUUGAACUGAAUCUAUUGCCUAUGCCGGAUGUUGAGUAAGAUGGGGUUUCCCACAUGGCUGACUUUAGUGUUGAGCAUAGAAGUUCGAAGUGGCGAAGAGGAGGCCGAUGUCAAGUUUAACAUGUUUCCCCGGGUGUGGUCCUCUCCUUGGUCUAUCGAUCCCGGAAAUGACGCACGCAUUAAAAUCCAGGAAAUCCGCAUGCACUUAGAAGCUCAGGAAAGAGCCCAGACAUUUUUGUCUGGUUUGUUUUGUCUCCCUUUCGGGAAGUAUCUUAGUUUGUUCCCUUGUUUUGAUUUGCUCUGCUGUCUAAGAUGACUUGAAAUGUUUAAUACCUGGUGUGUUGAUGGAAUGGACCAGCCUAGUGACAAAGAGAUUCAAACAGGAAGUUGAUCUGUUUUAUGGGAAUUCUAAGGAAAUUAGACUGUACCAAGUUUUAAGUAUUAGAGGGGACAUUGGAAAAUGUGAUGUCUUGAUCAAUGUGAGUUUGUUUAAUAUAAUUAUUGUAGUAGAGUAGGCGGGGCGAGACCGUGGUUCGAGUCCGGCGAGUAAUUGUGAAUGAGCGCCAGCUGUGCGCACACCGGGCUCGAAUCACGUAAGAGAUUGGGAGCAUAUAAAAGGAACGAGCGACCGGACCGUCGAAGAGAGAGGACUGGGCCCGAACUUGUGUUUAUAUUUGUAUUUAUGUUAUUUCGCCGGCGGUCGUCCUUGAGGCGCGGCCGGCUGUUAUUAUUUCUGUUAUUAAAUGUUUAAAUGUU